CACUGCCACCAACCCGGAUGUCCUCCCGCUAGCCUAGAACCUAUGAUGUUUGCAGUGCCCUUUCCCCGUGUGGUCCACCGUCUGCCUCCACGGUGGCUUCUGGCAGCCCCUGGCCUUGUCUUGCUGAGUUGAGCAGAACUUUGCUGUAGUUGCGCCCACUUACAGCAUCUUUGCCCAUCAGUGCCUCCCUCCGCUCCCCACUCUGGAAAGAAACCUCACAAUCUGGUUGAGAAAGUCAAUCAGAAAAAACCUCAGAAGUUAAUCGUUCCUCCCAGGUGUCGGCCUUCCCCUCUUCCUCCUGAACUCCCUGACCAGCCCUGCCCUCCCUGGAUUGAUGAGCCUCCACGGCCCUCCAUCAGCAUCCUCCCCGCAAGGCCCUUUCCCCCGCUUUGGUGAAUAUGCUUGUUGAUGUUCACUUUCCUCCAUGCCACCAUCUCCAUACUUCCUUCCCUGACCCUUGUGUCUCCCCGACACACGAGGGCCAGGCCUCCGUGCUUCUUUGCCACCACUGCGUCGUGUCGGGAGCUGCCCCUGAGGCCCGUGCGGGGCCUCUCGGAGUCUGCCUUUGUGUGUCUUCAAUGCAGUUCUCUGACUGGGCCUGUAUGGGCACACGUAUUUUAAAGAAAAGGGCAAUAUUGCAAAGUCAGUGGCCGCCCUGCAUGCCCUCCUUUCUCAUCACUUUGUGGUGGGUUUUUUUAAGAUGAGCAGCUCAGCCUGUGGUCGGUCUUCUUGAUUUAUUAAGGGCAAAAGAAGAAAAACAAGCUCCACUGUCUAAAUCUACUUAGUAACCACAUCCACACAGUGAGUAGAGGUAUCUGGAGAGAUUCUCACAGAUUUUGCUGGAUAGACCUCAGUGCUGUGUGAGGAGGACCGCGUCCUCUCCCUGCUGGUUCCUCUGGGCACCCUCCCCAUCCGUGAUCCUGGUCCAGGCGUGCUGCAGCUUUAACCAAGUUUUAAUUUUUUCCAGGGCUCUGCAUGGCCUGUAAGCAAUCGAGUCCGCUGUCCUGGAAACUGGAGGAGCUCGUUGGAGAAAAAGAAUUAUUUGAGCCCAUUGUGAGAAAUCGAACAGUGGCAGGAGGAGGAAAACGAGAGAAGAAAGGAGCCGACACAUCUGAACAGGCGGCCGCGGCCCUGUGCAUACAGAUGCAGGUGGUGGCAGGGUCCCUGUUGCAGCUCAUUACCGAGAAGCACAUCACAGGCCACCGGGCGAGGGUCGGGACACCCUGGCUGCUGCGCUGAGCUUUGAACAGGGCUGUGCUGCAGGACGGAGAGCACCUGCAUGCUCCCUAGGUGCUGUGGUUGCUGAACCAAUUCUCAUUAAAAAAAAUGCAGACCACCUGGGGCGAAAUCCCCUGGAGAGUCUUAUUUCCCUCUGUGGCACUUAUUUCAGCACUGCUGUACAACCCCCAGGACCUUUAGGAACAUUCCGGAGAGGGUGCUGGGGCCCCUGCCCCAGGAUGGGGCACCCCCUGCUGGUGAUGGGGAGGGUGGUCUCACUGUAGGAGGAGAUCCGAGCAGAGGGUGAGGAAAAGACACAGUCUGUAUUUUCCACAUGGAAGGAGACAGGGAGCAAUUUGCUUUUCUGCCCCUUGAAGUGCGUUACUGAUAAUGGGGUAAGCCGGCACGGUGGGACUCGCAUGGGCGAGGAGGAGUCUUGGCUCCAGGUUCUCCCAAUUGAGGCUUUAUAGGUUCCUGAGUCUGACUCCUUUCUCUCCCCUCAUGCCCUGCUGCAGCCUCUCUCUCUGUUUUCACCCGGUGUCUUGGCAGCGUUGCCCAGGAACACGCAGCCACGCUUGCGUUGAUCGGUCCGUGCAUUGCAAAUUGGGUUAGCUUGGGGGCUGGUCCCAUGUAAGGUUUGGGUGUUCCUCGGGACCAUUCAGAGCACCCAAACAAGGGUCCCUUUGAAGGGUUGGGGGCUUCUUGUUUCACCAACUACUAUCUGUGGCUAAGCGCUUGCAGUGUUUGGGGGAGUGGAAAUACAGAAGGGACACUGUGUCUAACUGCUAGUAGCCUAUGGAUCGAGGGAGCUGUGGUUCCUAUAUGGCCCCAGUUUAUAAAUAAAUGAACAUUCAUUAAAGUAAAAUUAAAUUAGAAUGAAAUUUCCCAUCCAGUUUUGUGUAGAAGGCAGAAAUAAGUGGGUUGGCUGUGUGAUUCUGUUGCAGAUGCUGGCACGUGUAGUCACAAGGUGAUAGUAAUAAUAGUAAUUUGCUCUUUGCUGGUGCCUCUGUCCCCACGUCUCA
ensembl:lncRNA